rnacentral:rRNA from 1 species
CCUGGCUCACGAUGAACGCUGGCGGCGUGCCUAACACAUGCAAGUCGAACGAAGCAAUUAAGAUGAAGUUUUCGGAUGGAAUCUUGAUUGACUGAGUGGCGGACGGGUGAGUAACGCGUGGAUAACCUGCCUCACACUGGGGGAUAACAGUUAGAAAUGACUGCUAAUACUGCAUAAGCGCACAGUGCCGCAUGGCAGUGUGUGAAAAACUCCGGUGGUGUGAGAUGGAUCCGCGUCUGAUUAGCCAGUUGGCGGGGUAACGGCCCACCAAAGCGACGAUCAGUAGCCGACCUGAGAGGGUGACCGGCCACAUUGGGACUGAGACACGGCCCAAACUCCUACGGGAGGCAGCAGUGGGGAAUAUUGCACAAUGGGCGAAAGCCUGAUGCAGCGACGCCGCGUGAGUGAAGAAGUAUUUCGGUAUGUAAAGCUCUAUCAGCAGGGAAGAAAAUGACGGUACCUGACUAAGAAGCCCCGGCUAACUACGUGCCAGCAGCCGCGGUAAUACGUAGGGGGCAAGCGUUAUCCGGAUUUACUGGGUGUAAAGGGAGCGUAGACGGCGAAGCAAGUCUGAAGUGAAAACCCAGGGCUCAACCCUGGGACUGCUUUGGAAACUGUUUUGCUAGAGUGUCGGAGAGGUAAGUGGAAUUCCUAGUGUAGCGGUGAAAUGCGUAGAUAUUAGGAGGAACACCAGUGGCGAAGGCGGCUUACUGGACGAUAACUGACGUUGAGGCUCGAAAGCGUGGGGAGCAAACAGGAUUAGAUACCCUGGUAAGUCCACGCCGUAAACGAUGAAUGCUAGGUGUUGGGGGCCAAAGCCCUUUCGUGCCGCCGCAAACGCAGUAAGCAUUCCACCUGGGGAGUACGUUCGCAAGAAUGAAACUCAAAGGGAAUUGACGGGAACCCGCACAAGCGGUGGAGCAUGUGGUUUAAUUCGAAGCAACGCGAAGAACCUACCCAAGUCUUGACAUCCCCCUGACGGGCCGGUAACGCGGCCUUUCCUUCGGGACAGGGGAGACAGGUGGUGCAUGGUUGUCGUCAGCUCGUGUCGUGAGAUGUUGGGUUAAGUCCCGCAACGAGCGCAACCCUUAUCCUUAGUAGCCAGCAGGUAGAGCCGGGCACUCUAGGGAGACUGCCAGGGAUAACCUGGAGGAAGGUGGGGAUGACGUCAAAUCAUCAUGCCCCUUAUGAUUUGGGCUACACACGUGCUACAAUGGCGUAAACAAAGGGAAGCGAGACAGUGAUGUGGAGCAAAUCCCAAAAAUAACGUCCCAGUUCGGACUGUAGUCUGCAACCCGACUACACGAAGCUGGAAUCGCUAGUAAUCGCGAAUCAGAAUGUCGCGGUGAAUACGUUCCCGGGUCUUGUACACACCGCCC